GAAUAAAACUUCUGCUGCGAUGGAGUUUUUGAUUUACAAAUUAUGAGCUGUAGAGAAUUUGAAGCUGUAUAUGCAAAAUGUAUGAUCUGUGUAGCAUAGAAUGUCGACAAACCGUUUUCAUAUACAUUCUGAAGGUUAAUCAUGCGCGCGUUCCCCGCCAUUUUUCUAGACAUUCGUAUAAGAACGGCGCGUCUGUGUAGACGACAUGCCUAGUUAACAGAAGUGAAAUGUUACACUGUUUAUUCAACUAUCAUGAGAAGCGGUUAUCCAUUGCAAAAAAGCCGUAUCUGAAAGUACGCAAUAUGUCGUAGAGAUUGUAUCGAGUUCUGUUUUGAAUCAAAUCUGCUUUUUCAUUCGUCAGAAGCAACCGAUGCACCACUAUAUCGCAUUUUGCGAUCAUGCUUAAAAAAUAGCCCGCCUGCCAUAGCUUAACAAAUUCGUCAAUGGAUAAUUUUCGAAGAGUGUACAGCAUUUAUGAGGGUUUAUUGAAUGUUAAUAUAACCCAGUACAAAAUGGUUGACAAUAUCACAAAUCAAUAUGGCAAAAAUGCGAAAUUGAGGGUACCACUCUCUUAAGGGGCCCUGACUUCAUAUCAGUUCCUUAUAAGUAUUUUUCCUGUUUAAAAAUUUCAGCAAUAUUUAUAGCAUCUAGUAAUAUAUGUGCGCAGGCGUCUGAAUUCUUGAUACGCGGUGGUACUCCGCGCAUUUUGAUUCUAUUUAAAUAAGCACUACUUUAUAUCCACCUAACUGGGGGGCUGGACGCAGUUUAGGAACGAGUCAGAGAAGAAUUGGUGUUUUUUCCCAGAGUGCAUCAAGAAUUUCAGAUAUAGGUGCUGAAGAAAUAGCUGAUUAGUGAGGAAAUAGCGGAUACAACAAAAGUAAAAGAAAACAAGAGAGAUGGAAAAGAUGGUAUGAACUAGAAAGAGUGACAGAGAUAGACAAGGUCAAGAGAAAAGGUGUAGGUAUGCAUACGAUAGCGAAUAAUGAUGAGCCAGAGAGAAUGCAAGAGAGAAAAGAAAUAUAGAGAAAAUGGCGCCCAUACUACUUCUACACGUUGAGGGAGAGCAGGUUUUACUUGUUAGACUUUAAAAUAUUACGCUUACAUAAUAGGGUUUCGUGUAGUUGUCCGCCCGGAAAUUGGUUUUUUUGUGGUAAAUGGAUACGCAUGAACGGGAAAUUAUCUGUGUCCUCAUAGAAAUGACACAGAAUUGCCAAAUCAUUUUUCUAAUUAGCAGCAACUCAAUAUUUUUAUUCUACCGUCACUUCAUCAUCAUGCGAGCCCUAGUACUCUAAGGAAGUGGCGCACAACGUAAAUUGUCGAAACAAAGAGGUGAAUACGUUUUUUUUUGAAUUGAUUGUUUUAUCAGUGGAUAGAGAGAUAGCGAGCAAACGAGAUAAGCAUUGGUUCAAAAUGUCAAGUAAAUCAAAUGGUAGUAAACGAGAAAAAGGCGAGGUAAAUAAUCCCAAGCAUAGGAGCACAAGAAUUAACAUAUCCUUUGUCCAACCGAAUUUGGACGUCUCUCAAACAGAGUUGGACACUAAAGACGAUCUCGAGAUGAAGGGUGAUUUGUCAACAGUAAAUACGAGUGAUAAUGAUAUUGACUUAAUGCCCUCCAGUAGAAAUAGCUUGAUAUCACAAUUUAGGAUAGAUAGCUCUAUUUCAUAUAGUAUGUUAUCUGAUAGGGUGGCAAGUCGAAUUAAUUCGGCGACAAAGACCGAAUGGGAUAAAAUAGAUACAGACGUGAAUAAGGCGAAUGAAAAGGUGGUAGAAAAUACGGAAACAGAUAAAAACAGGAAGGACUGGGUAUUAGAACGCAAUGCAAAACAGGCGACAUCACCGUCAUCUUCGAGUAGCCCUCAGGCAUCGAAUUCGAAGUUGUCUGACACAGAUAAAAGUACCGUAACGAGCAAUGCUGCGGUGGUGAAGAAGCAAAUGGAAUCGUCUACGGAUGUGGCUAUCAGUCAUUCUCUGACAAUUUUGAAUAACGAUAUAUGUCCAAUCGAGGAUGUGAGGCAUGUGUACACUGACGAAUCGUCCAGGUACACCCAAGGCUUAGAUUUAGACCGAGCUGUUUUUCGUAUUGAUGAUGCACAAUUCGAGCCAUUAAUUAGUCACGCAGAAGACUACUGCAUUGAGUCAAGUUUACAUUCUUCUUCUUCAUCAGUCACGCUUCGAUCUUUGUUUGAGGAUAAGAAUUUUUAUUUAUCCCCCGAUUAUCGAUCAGAGAUGUGGUAUACGUGUUAUUUCAUGAAUCAGCCACAUACCAACUAUCUUGGACUAGACAAUUCUCGCCGGUGCUUUGUGAUCAGUACGAUGAUACAGACAGAUCUGGAUUCUCAGCGGAAGUUCUUCCACUUGCUGCUGCAGACGAGCAAAUACUCGAAACAUCGACGAAUCGACGAGUCUUACCUGAAGAGAAAUAAUACCUGGUUCAAAAAAUCAAGCUACAACAUAGUGGCGGCAAUGAAGCUGAUGAUUCCAACCUUUGCUUACGCUAAGGUGUGGAUGGUGAAGGAUCCAGGAUUGUCACAAGAUAUCAGAGCUUUAGAGAGCAGCCGAAGAUGUACAACCUACAAGUUUGGUGUUUUGCUUUGCAAGGAGGGCCAAACUCGAGAAGAGGAAAUGUUCUCGAACUCUCUGUCUAGUGACUUGUUCUAUAACUUUUUGACUCUUCUAGGUGAAAACAUUCGUCUCAAAGGAUUCCAAUCUUAUCUAGGUGGACUAGAUGGUACUUACGAUUCUACCGGGACGCAUUCUAUCUAUACCAAAUGGCGCGACAAUGAGAUUAUGUUUCACGUUUCUACGAUGCUCCCGUUUUGCGCUGACAACAAUCAACAAUUAGAACGUAAACGACAUCUUGGAAACGAUAUUGUCCUCAUCGUAUUUAACGAAGGUAAUGACCCAAUCAGCACAGACACAGUUUCGAGUAGCUUUAUUCACGUUGUCAUCGUCGUCAGACCUGUCAAAAUCGAAGGCAAAGUUAUGUAUCGCUUGGCCGUCUCUUCAAAAAAGGAGCUUCUUCCAUCUGUCCCGGUUUUCCCGCAAAAUGCACUUUUCGAACAUACUCCUGAAUUUCGAGAAGUAUUCCUUGCAAAAUUAAUCAACGCCGAAUGGGCAUCCUACAAUGCAAAAACACUGCUCUCAAAGUUUCAAAGAACUCGGGAAUCAAUGCUUCGUGAGAUUGAAGAGAAAUACAAACCGUGAAGUAAGACACCGCCGUACGCAUUUGUGCUUUUGUUGUCUAGACAUGCAUUUUUUUAA